rnacentral:rRNA from 1 species
CCUACGUGUGGCUUCAGUGGGGAAUAUUGCACAAUGGGCGAAAGCCUGAUGCAGCAACGCCGCGUGAAGGAAGAAGGGUUUCGGCUCGUAAACUUCUAUCAACAGGGACGAAAGAAAUGACGGUACCUGAAUAAGAAACCCCGGCUAACUACGUGCCAGCAGCCGCGGUAAUACGUAGGGGGCAAGCGUUAUCCGGAAUUACUGGGUGUAAAGGGUGAGUAGGCGGCAUGGUAAGCCAGAUGUGAAAGCCUUGGGCUUAACCCGAGGAUUGCAUUUGGAACUAUCAAGCUAGAGUACAGGAGAGGAAAGCGGAAUUCCUAGUGUAGCGGUGAAAUGCGUAGAUAUUAGGAAGAACACCAGUGGCGAAGGCGGCUUUCUGGACAUUAACUGACGCUGAGGCACGAAGGCCAGGGGAGCGAAAGGGAUUAGAUACCCUAGUAGUC